rnacentral:lncRNA from 10 species
CCGAAAGGAGACUCAUGCAGGUGAAUCCCUGGGUGAUGCUCUUCUGUCUGGACAUCUGGUAGCUGCUGAAAACAAUAGCUAUCAACUCAAAGAGUUUUAUCCAAAACAACUGAUGUAGAAGGUAUGAUUAUAGUCAAAGCUUGGAUACAAUAUCAUUGUCUGCCCACUGGGAAUGGAUGACUUAUUUCCCGUAUCAGAUGGUCCAGUUGGUAUCUGAUGGCACUACUACUUGCCAGUAUUCAAUCAAGCUAUUUCGCACUGGUGCCUACUUCUGCUCUCAGGUGUUGCCUUGGGGAUUUGCUUGAAAUUGUGGUGGCUGUAGACAGCUCUAUGAGCUCUUAAAGUUCUUUUGAAGCUGUCAGAGAGCAAGUCCCAAUAUAAUCAGGGUGUGUUUUCCUUUGUGACAUCAUUAGCUUUUCUUGGGAUCUCAAAGGACCCUGUGCAGCAGGCCACUAUUUGAAUGUGUGUUGCUCCUUGUGGCAGGUAUACUGUUCCAAUGCCCUGGGAUCUCUGUAGUGGUCGGUACUGUAUUGAUUAUAAAUGGUGAAGUCCUAGUAUCUUGCUAGAGUGAGCUGGCCAGGAUGGUGGAGCUCUACCACCAUUUCACAGGUUAUAGACAGGGGCCACCAGGUUUCAGGAAAGCAGCAAUGACCCCUCAGUAAUAGUUGGAAAGUGUGAUAUGACACUGAGCUUCACUGUGUUGGUGAAGAAGAGCUGCAGUUUGCCUCCACCUCUGAAGAAGCACAAUACACCUUUCUGGGUUACCAAUGGGAUACUUCCCAACAGCUUUGUCAUCACAUACAAUAUUCUCAAACAAGAUCUUAAUGGCAUCUACUUUCUCCAGGAACACAGCCCCUGACCUGUGUGUGUUUGCGUAGAGAAGGCAUGCUAUGUACCCCCUAGGAUAUCAAGAUUCCUGUAGCAGAUUGAGCUCUGGCAGUUGAUCUCAGUGGCUUGAUAGAGUGUCAUUAUAAAAACGCACCUGGAAGAUUCUGUGGAAAAGACAACCUCAGAAGACCAAGAGGCUGACUUUGCAAGAGAGAGUCCGUUUACCACUUAGAACCGUGAACACCACCCCCGCCCUCAUUUAUCUCCAGACUUGAACUAGUGGUUAAAUCCCAACAUGUCCCAGAGAAGUCAAAAGCAUUGUAAAAUCUGGGAAUCUGCCCACCACUCAAGCCUGGGAAAGCUGGCAGAGGAUGCACGUGUUUUACUCACCUGAGUGUUUACAAUGCUCGUGAGGUGCCUCCCUGAUAUUUUUAUAGCAGAAUGGAGAAACACAACCAAGGAGAUACACCUAAGUAACAACAGCAAUGAUGUCAAAAAGAGUGCCUGAAUACUUAGGGUGGAGGUCCUGGACAUGCAAACCCAAGCUUCCUCUUUGCUGUGGCCAGGAAUCUGCAGUGAUUGAGAGCACAGACUGUAUCUAAAAUUCCACCUUUCAAAGUUCAGCAUAUUACUUUUUUUUUUCUUACACCUAUAAGUACAGAGGAAUGAAGAAGGAAUAAACAGACCUUCUGGAUAAUUGCAUCAGCCUUCCCCACUAUUCCAAUGCCAUGCUAACAUUUCAAGUAAUGUCCCUUUUGUCUUGCUGAGAAAAAAUCAUUUCAUGAUUUAUUACACUGGAUUAAAGGCUAUGCACACUCUGGAGUUGGAACAUGACUGAAGGGCAAGCAAGCAUAAAGGAUAUCAGAAACAGUUGAUGUGUUUAAAUUUUUCUGAAUUUCUCAAGUAAACUUUUUAGAAAGUAGUCUGAAGAUAAAAUGGUUAUAUAAGUUACUUAAACUGUAGAUGAUGGCACCUUUAUCCCUAUAUAAUAAAAUUAAGAUAACUCUUCUGGGCACUUUAUUUGGAAUUAAUUAUUUAAUCCUCAUAACAACGCCAUGAAGAUCAUACUAUUACCAUCCAAAGUUUACUGAGGAAGAUACUGAGGCAAGAUUUACAAUCCAAAGCAGAGUGGGAGGAAGAGACCUACAAGACCAUGUUUCAUUGGAUAGCUUUGGAGUAAUAUCUAUAAUUUUAGAAAAAAGUUAAGAGGAAGAAGAAACUGGUGUCAGCUACACUUAGAAGAUUUUACAACAGAGACUGGCUUCCAUUCACUGAUCAGACAUUCACUGAUUUUUAAUUCUUACCACCAGAGAAAAAGUUGUUAUGAUGAGGGUCCUCAGGAAAGACAAUACAGUCAGCCGAGAAAUACAAUUUUCUUUGUCUACUGUUGUUUCCUUUACACGGACCAUUGAAAUAUAUACUUAACCACCAGCAAAACUCCUAUUAAACACAAGUAAAAAAAAAUCACUACAUGCAAAAGAGUGAACACCAGGCAAAGUGAUAAUUUAUGAAUUUCCAGGAUUUUUGUUGUAAUUUACCCGUGUAAGUUUACAAUAAAUGAUUGAUGUAACUAAAUUUAUGGAUUGCAAUUAAUUACUAGGUUUGUACCACAGAUGAAGUAAUAUAUAUAUUGUCUAAUUUAAUAAUGAUUUGUCUACAGAAUUCAACCAACUGCUCAUUACAGAAUCUGAUGAACCUACCUUUAGACUACCUGUUAUCUUAACUACCUGUGAAGAUACUAUAUAUGAUGUAAUAGGUUUAACAAAUAAUGAAGGACCUUUUGUCCUUGCUUGACUCAAGAAGGGAUGGAGGGUCUCCAAGAAAUAUAAAUGUAGUCUGCUAUAAUGGGUAUUAGCUAGAUUAGUACUUCAGAAAAGGAAGAAUUAUUUUCAUUAUCAAAUGAUUAUUUGAUAUUUCCAUUCUGCAUUCUAAGCACAUAUUAGUUGAUGUACAGGUGCUGCUGGAUAACUGUUUGGAAACAGACCACAAAAUCGCUCCAAAAGGUAAAAUUCUCAAAUAACAGAGUUGUCAUGGUUGUAAAAAAAAGGUAUGAUAAAUACAUAAAAGCUGGCAAAAAUGGGGAAGGAUUAAAACUGUAACCUUAGUUAUCCUUCAGUAAACAUAGUUAAGUAGAAUGAAGCAGAUGUUUAUUCUGGUAGAUUCUAUUGCAAUGUUACAUUUUAACUUAAUAUUUCUAUUUUGUGAUUUAUUUUUAGUAUAGCAAAAUGUUUGGUUAAUAUUGUGGGUAUUGAUACUGUGUUAAAAUUUGUGACAGUCUAUUUAAUUUUUCAAUAUGAAGAAGUAUUACUGCUAUGAUGAAAUAUUUACUGUUGUGGUGGAAAUAAAUAAGAAAAUAGAAUUGACUAAAAGCAAAACAAACCAAUAAAAAAAGAAAAAAAGUCUGUUAUUUAUCAACAAAACAUUAGGAAAUUUACAUGCUUAAAGUAAACUUUGAUUCCCUAUUCCAAAGUGCCUUAUAUAUUCUACUCUCUUUGCUUUCACAUAAAUUUAUUCUAUGCUAUAAUGUAACUGGUAUACUAUUAAGUCCCAUACAUAUGUUACAUUGAACCAUACAUUUUUCUAUUCCAGGAAAGAGAAUUUUCUCAUUUUUUCCACCACUACCAUCCACCACAAUGACCACUAUUUUUCUCUUCACUUAAAAAGUAUCAUUUAUCUAAAGUUAAUGGCAUAGUUUCAGACUUCUCAUGUGUCCAAGCAUAUGAAUUAACAGUUCCUAUGUUAUUGUCCUAAGAUUUGUAGGUUAAACCUUGGAUAUUCCCAUCUGAGCAUCUGUACCAAACAGAAAAGACCUGUGUGAGUUCCUGAGAACCAGUGCUCAUUCCAGAAGAGACAGGUUUCUCUCCAGGAAGAAAUGUCUGAAAUUCAGUGAAUUAAAAUCCUCAUUGAGUCUUCCUACUCUUUACUUCUCCCUGGAAAAACUGGUUACGAAAAUUUAAUAUUCUGUCAUGAUAAGAUCAAGCUCUAUCAGAUCAGCCAUACAUAUCAAGUACAUUUUGACAAACUUGAUUCAUACUGUUUUCAAAUUAUGAACAACCAAGGCUCUUCUAUCCAAAAAUAUUGAUUAUUUAAUUCUGAAUAUCAUUACAGAGCAGUAAUAUGCUCUCAGCAUUUGGGGAUACAAGAGUCAGAAGAUGGACAAGCUUCCUUCCUAACAACAAUUACCACUUAAUUACAAUAUACCAAGUAGUAUUUUAUCUGCUAGGUAUAUUGGACUUACUUUUCACAGAUAGUUUAUACUAACAAAAUUUCUAACCAAAAUAUUUCUUGAAAAUUACUGAUUUUAUUUGAAAUUAUGUGCAGGAAAAAUACAAGCAUAUCUCUGAAUUUCUAUUUGUCUGUUAAACAAAAGGGGAUAAAUAUGACUAAUGUCAUUUAACAAGAGGAAUUACAGACUAUGAAAAGAGUAGCUUAUUUAUAUCAACUCACAAUACUUUCCAGAGAGAGAAAGAAAAAGGCUAUUAUGUGGCCUGAACAAGAAGUUGGCCAUCCUUUUCCCUUUCUUUGUGGAAGAUGGUCCUGAUAGGAUAGAGACUUAAAGAAGGGAUUGAUUUGUUUUCUCCAGCUGUCCUAAUAGUGAGUGAAUAAAAUUAACUGUGAACUAUUUCAAUCAAUAACUCAAUGAUUGACUUACAUUGAUUAGAAAAGAGCUGAUUCUUUGCCAUGGAUAUCUAGAUACCUUGAUGAUCCUAUUUUGAACCAAUUUAAAAGUAGGACAAUACCCACUGGAUGGAAGUUUCAAAACCUGAAAACAAUAAAACCCACAAGAUUUUAUUUCUUUUAAUAACUUCUGUGACAAUGAAAUUGAAGUCUUACACACUUUUUUUUUUUUUUACUCCAGUGUCUUGUUAUCUGGAGCAAAAUUCAGAAAGGAGAGCAACUAUGUAAAAAAGUAAGAAUUUUGGCUUGCUAUGCCAUUCUUAGAGGUUUCUUUUAUCUUUAUAUUUUCUUGAAAUGUCUUGUGUAAAAUUUAAACAACUUCCUGUACUAUAAAUAAGAUAUUUUGAAGGCAAGCAUAUGCAUAGAUAAUACUUUAGAAAAGAAUUGUGAUUCCAAUUCUGUACUUAGCACUUAAUAUUAAAAGUUUCUUAUAGUGAAUAUAAUUUUCUACAACAGAUAGUACAAUUUUGUUUCACCAUUAACAGGUAAAUAAGUAAAUAUACAUUUAAAUAAAUAUUAUAAAGUUCAUUUGUUAAUUAAUACAAACAUUAUAAAUUAUUGAAUACUUUUUCCAAUGGACAAGCAGCUUUAAAAACCUGCUUUCACCACUUUAUUUAUUUAUUUUUUUUUGAGACAGAGUCUCGCUCUGUCGCCUAGGCUAGAGUGAUCUCGGCUCACUGCCAGCUCUGCCUCCCGGGUGCACGCCAUUCUCCUGCCUCAGCCUCCCAAGUAGCUGGGACUACAGGCACCCGCCACCACACCCGGCUAAUUUUUUGUAUUUUUUUAGUAGAGACAGGAUUUCACCGUGUUAGCCAGGAUGGUCUUGAUCUCCUGACCUCGUGAUCUGCCCACCUCAGCCUCCCAAAGUGCUGGGAUUACAGGCAUGAGCCACCGUGCCCGGCCUUUUUUUGGUAUUUUUAGUAGACAUGGGGUUUCACCCUGUUAGCCAGGAUGGUCUCGAUCUCCUGACCUCGUUAUCCACCCGCCGCGGCCUCCCAAAGUGCUGGGAUUACAGGCAUGAGCCACCGUGCCAGGCCACUUUCACCACUCUUAAUCCUCUGAGGUGAAGAGGUCUUUUAAACUAUAGUUUGUAUAACUGAAAAUCAAAAGAAAAAAGUUUUAAUGAAGUUUUUGUAAUUAGUAAGAAACAUAAGGGAAUACCAAAAGCAAACUUUUUUGAAUGCUUACUUUUGGGGAAGCAUUGAAUUUUAUAUCUGGUAUAUGAUAAUUCAUAUCUUAGGAUAUGCUCCCCUUUCUAUAAGUAGGAAUUAGGAAACACGGAGAGGUGAAUUUUUUGCUCAUGAAUGAAUUUACCCAUUAGGCAUUUUUGAGAGGUAUCAGUAGUCAGCAGUUAUCACUUUCUUCUACUCUUCAUAUUGCUAGAGACAUAGUGACUCCAUGUCUUAUAGAAUGUUCAUUUUCUCUUUCACUUAUCCCAUAUCAUGUGCCAGCUAUUGAUCCAAUCAAUUUUAACAAUGAAAGUUCUAAACCAGGAACCAUUUACACUGGAUCUUACAUUUGCCCUGGGUAAGAUGGCAGUUGAUGGCAGUGUCCACGUGCAUCAGGAAGAAGUCUUCAUUAGCUUCAUGAUUUAAGUCCUUAAAUGUAAUUUUAUCACAGAAAACAUAACCUAUAUUCAAGCCUUAACCUUAACUUAGUCCUCAUAUUCAUUGUUACCCUUACCAAGUUUUUCUUAAUUGUAUGCCUAGCAUGCAAAUGAUACGGACAGGAGACAGGGAAAUACAGGGUAGAAAAGGGCAGUUCCCCAGCAAAGGCCCCACCCUCAAGCCUGAAAAACCAUGGCCCUAAAUGAGGACAGGCAUUCCUGUUGUCACACCCAAAAAGUUGCCUUUUGGCCUGCCAUGCCCCAUAUCCUGUACCCAUAUAAAUCCCGAACCCCACGCUCCAGAAGCAGAUGAGCAGGUGAGGAAAUGAGGAGUCAAACAGAUGGAUAGUAGAACGACACAGCAAAGAAAGAAGAGGAAUGUCUGAAUACCAAGAGGAGUUCAGCUGGGGGCAGUUAGGGAGAGGUUUGGAGACUGGCCAGUUUCCAGGGGAAGAUCACCUUCCUAUUCUAUCCCCUCCUUCUGCCUCCUCAUCCAGCGCACUGAGAGCCACCUCCACCACUCAAUAAAAACCUUGCAUUCAUCCUUUAAGCCCGUGUGUGACCUGAUUCUUCCAGGACGGUGGGUAAGAGCUCAGGAUACUGAAAGCUGUCACACUGGCUCUCUGCGCUUGCGAAAAGGCAGAGGGUCCAUUGAGCUGGUUAACACUUAAAAUCAUCUGCAGACAGCAAGGCUAAGAGAGCAUCAGUUAACACUGUGGCUGCAGGCACCCACCCCAAGACACUGCCGUGUGACCAGAGAACACAGUGCUUGCUCCAGCCUCUGCACCCACCUGUCUGCAUGAUCCCUCUCCCUCAAGGGUUUUGAGCAGCAGUGGUGACCAAAUAGCCAAGCCACUCCCCUGUUGCAAGUCCUGAGAGGGGGAUCAGGGAACUCUCCCAUUUCACUUAGGCAGGGAAGGGGUAAGACUAUGGGAUGGACUAAGAAUGUAGAUUUUACAUAUCACUUGGUAAUUUGUUACAAAUUAUUUGGUAAUUUUUUUUUCUUUUUGAGACAGAGUCUUGCUCUGUUGCCCAGAGCCGGAGUGAAUGGCCAGUCUUGGCUCACUGCAACCUCCACCUCCUGGGUUCAAGCAGUUCUCCUGCCUCAGCCUCCCGAGUAGCUGGGAUUACAGGUGUGCGCCACCAAGCCCUGGCUAAUUUUUGUAUUUUUAGUAGAGAUGGGGUUUCACCAUGUUGGCCAGGCUGGUCUAGAACUCCUGACCUCAUAAUCCACCCACCUCAGCCUCCCAAAAUGCUGAGAUUACAGGCAUAAGCCACCGUGCCCAGCCUACUUGGUAAUUUUUAAAAGCUACAGGUUUAAUAGUUAAUUUCUCAAGCAAAUAAAAGAUGUUCCCAACUCCAAACUGCUUUAUUAAAUAAUUUAACCUAAUUAAAUAGAAUCCUGAUCAUGGACCAUAUAGUUUAUUAUCCAAACUGGAGCCACAGGCAGUAGACAGGAUUGAACCAGACAAUCCUGCAAGAUCACCCACCCUCCUUCAAAGAGAUAUUGUCUGUGAGUGGACAUUAUCCUCACAGCCUUAUACCUCUUUUUUCCAAUGGACAAUUGCAUAUGAAAUGACAGCAGAAAAAUUAAAAAACAGGGCAUCCCCAAGGGCAAAAUAAUGUAGGCCCAACUCAACACAUCAAAGAUGAAAAACUGCAGAAUAUAGCACUCCUCCAACCUGAGCUGUAAAAAGUUAUAUUCUUCAAAUAAUUUUCACUACCACUCUAUAUAACCAUGUUAAAUACAUUAGCACAACAUACUGAUGAAAAUAAAUGUCUUCCAAGAUUUGCACAUAAAUGCAAAGAGGAUCGUAAUCAUUACUUUUAAGAGAUUUGGGGUCAGUUGGUGUGUGUAUAGGGGAGUGUGUUUUAUUGUGAUAUAAUUCAAAAACCAUACAACUGAACAGUUUAAUAUAUUAGCAGAGUUCUGCAACCAUCACCACUAUCUAAUUAUAGAAGAAUUUCAACACCUCAAACACAAACUCCAUACCAUUUAACAAUCACUCUUAAUUCUUCAUUCUCCCCACUCCCAGGCAAACACAAAUCUACUUUCUGUCUCUGUGGUUUUGCCUGUUCCGGACAUUUCAUAUAAAUGAAAUCAUACAAUGCCUUUUCUGGCUGAAUUCUUUUUACAAUAUAAUAAUUUCAAGGUUCAUUCAUGUUGUAACACGUAUCAGUACAUCAUUCCUUUUUAUUUCUGAAUGAUAUUGAAUUAUAUGGACAUACUACAUUUUGUUAUCCACUCAUCAGUUGCUGGACAUCUGUAUUAUUUCCAUUUCUGAGGUAUUAUGUGUAACACUGCUAUGGACAUUUAUGUGGAAUUUUUUGUGGACAUAUGUUUUCACUUCUCUUGGAUAUAUACCCAGGAGUGUAAAUUGCUGGUCAUAUUGUCUCUGUUUUAUAAUACAUUUUGAGGAACUGCCAAACUGCUUUCCAAUGUGACUUCACCACUUUAAAAUCCCACAGCAAUAUAUGAUAAUUACAAUUUCUCCAUAUCCUCACCAACAUUUGUUAUCAUCUGUUUUUUUUAUCUGAGCCGUCCUAGUGAGUAUAAAGUGGUAUCUCAUUAUAGUUUUGAUUAGCAUUUCCCUUCUGGCUAAUGAUGCUGAGUAUCUUUUCAUGUGUUUCUUAGCCAUUUGCAUAUUUUUCCUUGAAAACAGUCUAUUAAGAUAUUUUUCCUUAUUUUUGAAUGGGUUAUUUGUUUUUUCACUACUGAAUUGUAAGAGUAGUUUCUUUAUGCUAAAUACAAGAGCUGUAUCAGUUAUAUGUUUUGCAAUUGUUUUCCCUUUUACUGGAUUGUUAUAAUAAAGAGUCUGACUCCAUUAUUGAUGUGUGACUCUUGGCAGCUUUUAAAACCCCAUCCUAAUGUCUUCCCCUUCUGUCCCGCACUGGACCAUGAUGAUAAGAAAGUCUGGGUUUUCCCACCUUUGGCACUGAAGGGAAGUUCAAACCACACAGGGGGACCCUCAGCCCAGCCUCAUCUUAUAACCCCCAUAAAACCCCCA